GUAUAAUAAAAGAAAAAAAAAAAAAGAAAAAUAAUAUCAGAAAUCAAUAGGAUUGAAUUUGUACUAUUUUGUACUAC